rnacentral:rRNA from 1 species
UACGUAGGGGGCAAGCGUUGUCCGGAUUUAUUGGGCGUAAAGAGUUCGUAGGUGGUUCGGCAAGUCAGCUGUGAAAUCUCCACGCUCAACGUGGAGGGGUCAGCUGAUACUGCUGUGACUUGAGUCCGGUAGGGGAGUGUGGAAUUCCCGGUGUAGCGGUGAAAUGCGCAGAUAUCGGGAGGAACACCAAUGGCGAAGGCAGCUCGCUGGGACGUGACUGACGCUGAGACGCGAAAGCGUGGGGAGCAAACAGG